rnacentral:rRNA from 1 species
GACGAACGCUGGCGGCGUGCUUAACACAUGCAAGUCGAACGAUGAAGCCGGAGCUUGCUCUGGUGGAUUAGUGGCGAACGGGUGAGUAACACGUGAGUAACCUGCCCUUGACUCUGGGAUAAGCGUUGGAAACGACGUCUAAUACCGGAUACGAGCUGGGACCGCAUGGUCACCAGCUGGAAAGAAUUUCGGUCAAGGAUGGACUCGCGGCCUAUCAGUUAGUUGGUGAGGUAACGGCUCACCAAGACGACGACGGGUAGCCGGCCUGAGAGGGUGACCGGCCACACUGGGACUGAGACACGGCCCAGACUCCUACGGGAGGCAGCAGUGGGGAAUAUUGCACAAUGGGCGCAAGCCUGAUGCAGCAACGCCGCGUGAGGGACGACGGCCUUCGGGUUGUAAACCUCUUUUAGCAGGGAAGAAGCGAAAGUGACGGUACCUGCAGAAAAAGCACCGGCUAACUACGUGCCAGCCGCCGC